rnacentral:rRNA from 1 species
GAUGAACGCUGGCGGCGUGCCUAAUACAUGCAAGUCGAGCGAACGGACGAGAAGCUUGCUUCUCUGAUGUUAGCGGCGGACGGGUGAGUAACACGUGGAUAACCUACCUAUAAGACUGGGAUAACUUCGGGAAACCGGAGUUAAUACCGGAUGAUAUUUUGAACCGCAUGGUUCAAAAGUGAAAGACGGUCUUGCUGUCACUUAUAGAUGGAUCCGCGCUGUAUUAGCUAGUUGGUAAGGUAACGGCUUACCAAGGCAACGAUGCAUAGCCGACCUGAGAGGGUGAUCGGCCACACUGGAACUGAGACACGGUCCAGACUCCUACGGGAGGCAGCAGUAGGGAAUCUUCCGCAAUGGGCGAAAGCCUGACGGAGCAACGCCGCGUGAGUGAUGAAGGUCUUCGGAUCGUAAAACUCUGUUAUUAGGGAAGAACAUAUGUGUAAGUAACUGUGCACAUCUUGACGGUACCUAAUCAGAAAGCCACGGCUAACUACGUG